UGGGGGAUAUUGCACAAUGGGCGAAAGCCUGAUGCAGCGACGCCGCGUGGGGGAUGAAGGCCUUCGGGUUGUAAACCUCUUUCGCUAUCGAACAAGGCCCGCUCAGGGUGGGCUGAGGGUAGGUGGAGAAGAAGCGCCGGCUACCUACGUGCCAGCAGCCGCGGUAAUACGUAGGGCGCGAGCGUUGUCCGGAAUUAUUGGGCGUAAAGGGCUUGUAGGCGGCUUGUUGCGCCUGCUGUGAAAACGCGGGGCUUAACUUCGCGCGUGCAGUGGGUACGGGCAGGCUUGAGUGUGGUAGGGGUGACUGGAAUUCCAGGUGUAGCGGUGGAAUGCGCAGAUAUCUGGAGGAACACCGAUGGCGAAGGCAGGUCACUGGGCCAUUACUGACGCUGAGGAGCGAAAGCAUGGGUAGCGAACAGG
rnacentral:rRNA from 1 species